AGAGUUUGAUCAUGGCUCAGAUUGAACGCUGGCGGCAGGCCUAACACAUGCAAGUCGAGCGGUAGCACAGAGAGCUUGCUCUCGGGUGACGAGCGGCGGACGGGUGAGUAAUGUCUGGGAAACUGCCUGAUGGAGGGGGAUAACUACUGGAAACGGUAGCUAAUACCGCAUAAUGUCGCAAGACCAAAGUGGGGGACCUUCGGGCCUCAUGCCAUCAGAUGUGCCCAGAUGGGAUUAGCUAGUAGGUGGGGUAACGGCUCACCUAGGCGACGAUCCCUAGCUGGUCUGAGAGGAUGACCAGCCACACUGGAACUGAGACACGGUCCAGACUCCUACGGGAGGCAGCAGUGGGGAAUAUUGCACAAUGGGCGCAAGCCUGAUGCAGCCAUGCCGCGUGUGUGAAGAAGGCCUUCGGGUUGUAAAGCACUUUCAGCGGGGAGGAAGGCGNNCGAUUGACGUUACCCGCAGAAGAAGCACCGGCUAACUCCGUGCCAGCAGCCGCGGUAAUACGGAGGGUGCAAGCGUUAAUCGGAAUUACUGGGCGUAAAGCGCACGCAGGCGGUCUGUCAAGUCGGAUGUGAAAUCCCCGGGCUCAACCUGGGAACUGCAUUCGAAACUGGCAGGCUAGAGUCUUGUAGAGGGGGGUAGAAUUCCAGGUGUAGCGGUGAAAUGCGUAGAGAUCUGGAGGAAUACCGGUGGCGAAGGCGGCCCCCUGGACAAAGACUGACGCUCAGGUGCGAAAGCGUGGGGAGCAAACAGGAUUAGAUACCCUGGUAGUCCACGCCGUAAACGAUGUCGAUUUGGAGGUUGUGCCCUUGAGGCGUGGCUUCCGGAGCUAACGCGUUAAAUCGACCGCCUGGGGAGUACGGCCGCAAGGUUAAAACUCAAAUGAAUUGACGGGGGCCCGCACAAGCGGUGGAGCAUGUGGUUUAAUUCGAUGCAACGCGAAGAACCUUACCUGGUCUUGACAUCCACAGAACUUNUUGGUGCCUUCGGGAACUGUGAGACAGGUGCUGCAUGGCUGUCGUCAGCUCGUGUUGUGAAAUGUUGGGUUAAGUCCCGCAACGAGCGCAACCCUUAUCCUUUGUUGCCAGCGGUUCGGCCGGGAACUCAAAGGAGACUGCCAGUGAUAAACUGGAGGAAGGUGGGGAUGACGUCAAGUCAUCAUGGCCCUUACGACCAGGGCUACACACGUGCUACAAUGGCAUAUACAAAGAGAAGCGACCUCGCGAGAGCAAGCGGACCUCAUAAAGUAUGUCGUAGUCCGGAUUGGAGUCUGCAACUCGACUCCAUGAAGUCGGAAUCGCUAGUAAUCGUAGAUCAGAAUGCUACGGUGAAUACGUUCCCGGGCCUUGUACACACCGCCCGUCACACCAUGGGAGUGGGUUGCAAAAGAAGUAGGUAGCUUAACCUUCGGGAGGGCGCUUACCACUUUGUGAUUCAUGACUGGGGUGAAGUCGUAACAAGGUAACCGUAGGGGAACCUGCGGUUGGAUCACCU
rnacentral:rRNA from 1 species